GCUAAGAGUGUCUGCCAAAUGCCAUGAAUGUAAUGUAUUGUGUGUCUUUCCUCUCCUCAGAAGCUAGGCACCAAGGGAAACAAAGCCAACUACAGAAAUGUGGUGAAGAAAUUAUUCCAGGUCUUCCCAAGCAAGGAACACUACAAAGACUCAGCCCCCAAUCGUUGUAGGACUUGCGCUGUUGUCGGGAAUUCUGGGAACCUCAACGGAUCCGAUUACGGAGCCCUCAUUGACUCCAAUGACUUCAUCAUAAGAAUGAACAGAGCUCCCAUUUUGGGCUAUGAAAAGGACGUAGGGAACAGAACCACCCAUCGCAUCUCGUACCCAGGAUCUAUCAGGCACCUGCAAAACGACACACACCUGAUUCUGUUACCAUUCAAGACUGAAACUCUACAGUGGAUCACCAAGGCUUUGACCACAGGCUCUAUGAAAAGCGCCCCUUUACCUGAGAUGGCCCAGAUUAAUGCAGACAAGGUG